rnacentral:lncRNA from 1 species
UUUUUUUAAAUAUAAUCACAUUAGUGAAAAUUCAACGUUCAGAACAAAAAAAAAUUACAAACUAUAAAGUCCGAAAGUAACUCUAUGGUACCUACAUAAUAAAUUAACAAAAGAAAUUAACUUUGUAAAUGAGAGAGAGAAAGGGAAAUUAAAAGUGAUAGCAUACAACCUCUGUUGUAGGUGUUCUUGAUGCCACAAACAACACGAACAAUGUCUGCAGAAAAAUUUGGUAAGAAAGGUUGAAUACAGAUGGACAAUUAUUAAACCAAUAAAAUGUUAGCUAAUUGAAAAACCAAGAUUAGAAACAAAUACCCGGCAAAUCCACGUUUGUAUUAACUAAAGGCAUGAGCAGCUCAUAUUUCUGAAACCUGAACUGUUCUGUAGAAUAAAGACGUCUACAUAAGCUCCACAAAGUUGGUCAGGUCGUUGAAGCGAAUGGAAACUGGUGAGUCAGUGAGUUUGAAGUGGAUGUAACUUCUUGUGACAUUGAAUACACUUAGCACAGAUGGCAUCUUCCUUCAACAGGUGCUUCAAAGUAUUGAGUCUAUGAGCCCCAGUAUAACCUUGAACCAAGAUGGACUGUAAAACUUAGGGAUACUGGUGAUCACUUUCAAAAUUUCAUAAAGGUGCCAAAAAAAUGUUGUGAUUUGUUACCCUUCUGAAGAUUGGAAAAUUCUUUGAAGAACUUACUUUAGUGCUUUCGCAGCUGUGGCUGCAACACAUAAUGAUCCAACUUUAAUAUGUUCAAAUCCUCAAUCCACCUAUUUAUGCCAAAUACGAAUUCCUGUAACUCCUGAGAAGCAUAAAAGAAAUCAGUAUUAGAAAACAAUAUUCUCUUUAGGUGUGAUUGGAUGGUUAUACCAAGGAUUUUAAAGGCAAUCAACGAUCUGGGUUUUUCCACCGUAGGCGGAAGAAGACGACGCUGGUGAUGCUCGUCGACUCCUCUGACUCUGAUCCCCUUGAGACGACUUUCUUCGUUGGAAGAAGCUUUGUGAUUUCUCUUGGGCACCUUGCGUGACAUAUAUAUAUAUACAGAGCUUCUAUAUACAGAACUUCGGUGAUGGGGAAGGUGAAAAAUCUUGAUCGAUGAGGAGAAAGUGGAUGACUUGAUUGCAUACUAUAAUCAUUGUUAAUAACUCUGUCAAUUGAAUUGAGGGAGAGAUGAACCGACGUGGUUACGUUUCAUACACCAGCGAGAAAGAACCUGUAUCAACGUGGAUUAGGGUUCGUCUUCUUCUCAGCUUAAAACAUGAUUUCAACCGAUGUACCAAAUCUCUUAUCGUCUGUCUUCUUCUCUCUACAGAAGAAUUUCUCUUCUUUUUCUUUGAGAAUUUUGUCAUAGUCUGGCUUCAACCGAAGCUUGGAUCAUCACACCGAGGCCCGUAUCAAAAGAAUCAUUAAAAGCCAAGAAGAAACGUAAAGAUGAAAUAAUUCGGAGAUGACACGUGUCGAUACUAUGGAGCUCGAAUUUAUGUGCUGGCAGCUGAGGUGGAC